CGACCCGACCGGAAAACCACUUUUCCGGCGUUGCACGGGCCGAUCCUCCCCAUUUUCGUGAUCUCCUCCUCCCCCUGAUUAUCCCCAUGUAAGCCUUUCAUCACGAUUUUGUGUAUAGAACGCUAGAUCAUGGUUUGACUUUUUCGACGUCCCUGAUUUAAUCUGAAUCUGAUCAGACGCACGAGAUUAAUCCAACUUCAACGCUUGAUCUAGGACGAUCUAGGCCGAACCAGGCUUAGCUCCAGGUGAUCGAUGGAUUUAUUUGGCGGACGAUUCGUGAGAUUGUUAAUGGAGCUGUUAAGAAGACGCAGCUGGAUUAGAGCGGGUAAUCCUACAGGACAGGAGAACCAGGACGGUGAUCGUGCGGUUAGAGCAAUUGUUAGAGUUUUACAGCAAUUGUAAGUUGUGAGGUGUAUUAUGCUCAUUUAGAGCUUUACAAUAUUGCUUGUGAGAGUGAAUUGUAAUAAUGAACUCGAGGUUUCGAGAUUUGGAGUUUGUGUACCUUGUGGUGAGAUUAUAUUGAGAAGAAAAUUCAGAACGUUUAUUUGAUUAAGUGGUUU